CCAAGGACGAGAAUUAUCACAAGAAUUACUACCGGUUGAGGAGCAUGCUGGUGAGGUUAGCAGCAGUGACAGUGAGAGCUCUACACCUGAAGUUCUGCCAGAACUCAAGGCACUAGGGCUGACUGGCACGCCUCCUAAAUUCCAGCUAUCACCCUGUUGGUCAAACUAUUGUGCUGAUGAUGCUAGCGGCAGCGAGAGUGACUCUGAAAUUGUUGAGGAGAGCAAGCCCAAAGAAGAAUCAGAUUUUGAUAUAGAGGAGGAGCGGCGAGAACUGGAGAAGUACUUUGAAGAGAACACGUGCAACACUUUCCGUGAAACGUGUGUUAUGCUUCGUGACAUUGAGCGU